rnacentral:lncRNA from 1 species
UGGGGAGCAUAGAAUAUCACUAGAGCCUAGAAAGGUACCAUUCUUUGGGGGGACAAAUUUGCAUGGCGAUGUUAUUAAAAAAAACUUUACGCUGCAUAAGAACGCAUAGUCAGCUGAACAGAUCAAUUCGUUGAAUAGAAUGAAUUUUCUGGAAAUUAGAGUUGGCAAUAGUACAAGUAGCACUCUAGCAGAAAGGUGUAAGUUCAACAGGCAGACUCAUUUUCCUAAGAUUCAAAGUGACAUCUC